CUCCGGUGCCCGGCAGGCGUGAUGAUAACCACUCUUGAUCAAACGGUUAGAAUAUAUCGGAAUCUAGUGACGAUCCUAGGGCGGACUGACAUUGUUUCAAGAGAUGACGUCUCGAACACCGUGAAAUCCUCGUGAUGACGGCCGUGAUCCUUUGCAGGCAACGAGUUUGUGGCACCAGCGUGUCCCAGUACUACAAGAUAUUUAAAGGCAGCAGCUGCGAUGUAAGUGCUGACAAGAACGCAUUCAGUCUGACAGCGCAUUCAAGAUGUGCAAAGUCGCACCAAAGGACGGCACGGGCUCUCACUUGACCGGCGUAGAUUUUGAACACAAAGGCCGGCGGCGGACGGCGGCGCUGAGCUCCAGCGGCCGUGGCGGCAACCAGUUUGUGGCACCAGCGUGGCCCAGGACUACAAGAUAUUUAAAGGCAGCAGCUGCGAUGUCAGUGCUGACAAGAACGCAUUCAGUCUGACGGCGCAUUCAAGAUGUGCAAAGUCGCACCAACGGACGGCACCGGUUCUCAUUUGACCGGCGUGGAUUCUGAACACAAAGGCGUCCUGCCGACGGUGCCGGCUAAUUCGUGCCGCCGAGACGAGGCCUGGCGGGCGGGGCCGGUGACGGAGCGUCCGUCGGCCACUGCCCUCUCCGCAGGCCUGACGGGCGGAGCCGGUGACGGAGCGUCCGUCGGCCACUGCCCUCUCCGCAGGCCUGGCGGGCGGAGCCGGUGACGGGAGCGUCCGUCGGCCACGCCUCAGGUGGUCACUGGUGGCCGAGCCGGUGCGGUCAGGGCGCGGCUGGUCCCGGGUACAGCUGCGGCCUGCCGGACACGGUCCACGGUGCCCUCUUGACAACUGGGGACGGAAACGUUCGCGAACAUUCAUCUUAGAUGGUCCCACGUUUCUGCAGAAGGCCGUCUCGUAGUGAACAGCGAAAGAUGUCAGGACAUUCAAAAGAUUGCCUGGCGGACUGGGCUGGCCUUCCGGACCCGGCACUGUGCUGGCGUCACGCACCGAGGUGCCGACCGUCAGUGUCACCAGGUUGUCAGCCCUCCAUCUCCAGCUGGCGCAGGUCGACCCCAUCUCUCUGUGUGGUGCUGCUCUGAAGAGAUCCGGUGCGGUGGGGAUCUCGGGCCACGCGGGCUCGGCUGAAGCGUGUUGGGUCGCGACAUCCGCAGUCAGACAAGUGAUUUGGUGUGAGGGCGGGCCGUACCUCUGCUGACUGGAUGUGGAACUUCAGGAGCCAGUUGAAUGACUCGUCUUCCGACCGUCCAGUCGCACGGUUGCUGGCCAUCCUGUCGUGCCGAGUCUGAUGCCGCCCUGGACGGCUGGGUGUGCCAGGAUCAGCGGUGUGGUCGGCGCGCACCGCCUCAGUUUGUGGGUCGCGCCACGGACUGGGCAGCUGUUGGGGUGCUGUGGAGCUGGGGCAUUGGAGGUGCUGGCCGCAGUCUGCCCCGGUCUCAACCAAAGAGCGGAGAGGGCCGCGCCGCCCUGGGCCACCGCCUGGCGCGCGCUUCUGGGUCCUCUGUCGUCGCCAUCGCCCUCCGGACCAGGUGGCGGGAGGAGCGGUCCCGGGCCGGCGCCGUCCUGUCCUUACAGCCUCGCCGGUGAGCCAGCAGGCUGGUGCCGCCCCCGAGCUGGCGGGAGGCGCCUGGCUGGCAGCCGGCCCGGGAGAGGCGGCCACUGCUCCACUCAGCACCCCGUCGGCAGACCCGGCGCCCGGGGGGCGAGCGUGGGCCGGCGGCUGUCGUCUGCCCGGUCGAUCCUCCGCCAGGCGAACGCUGCCUUUGGGAAUUCGCCAGAAAGUGAACCCUCGAUGGUCUUAACUGCGAAAAAACGAAGGGUCUGGCAUGACAAUGCAGCUGUGAAAUAAUUCCUGACCGGAGGAUGUGAUGGCCCUUGACGUCGAGGAGGGGGUCCGGCAUCUUGGCUGCGUGGGUGGCGUACCACCCGCAGUCAACUGGACGCGGACGGCAUGCCUGUGCUGGCUGCCUGCACUGCCAGAGACCCUGGUGACUGGGUUGGAUAGUGACCAGGUCGAGCUCCUGGCCGAGCUGGGCAGCGGCCUCUGCUGCGUCUGCUACCGUCUACAGCGCUACUACCAUGGUCCGUCCGCUGGCGUGUCGCAGCCGAGGGACGGCGCUCGCCGAGUCCAGGUGCUGGGAGCUGGGCGCCCAAGGCUGGCUGCGGCAGCAGCGACCUUCCCGCGGCUCGAGUCAUCGCGAUGUGGAGUCCGGCAGCAUCUGGGAGUCAAGGACACCCGCGUUGCGUUUGGCGUAAUAGGUCGGCCGUGCGGAUGGCCGUGAUAGUUCUAACGGUUUACGGGUGAGAUCGGAAGCAUCCGAUCUGUAUCGAUCCGUGGAGUGGUCGGCGUGUCGGCGUCAGCGCCGCCUGCUGUGGUCCCCGUGGCCCGUGGUGCACAGCGCGUGGUUGGUGUGCACCUUAUUCCACGUUGUCCUAAAUAAAGCAGAUGCGUAU